rnacentral:rRNA from 1 species
GGGGAAUAUUGGACAAUGGGCGCAAGCCUGAUCCAGCCAUGCCGCGUGAGUGAUGAAGGCCCUAGGGUUGUAAAGCUCUUUCACCGGUGAAGAUAAUGACGGUAACCGGAGAAGAAGCCCCGGCUAACUUCGUGCCAGCAGCCGCGGUAAUACGAAGGGGGCUAGCGUUGUUCGGAAUUACUGGGCGUAAAGCGCACGUAGGCGGGUAUUUAAGUCAGGGGUGAAAUCCCAGAGCUCAACUCUGGAACUGCCUUUGAUACUGGGUACCUAGAGUAUGGAAGAGGUGAGUGGAAUUCCGAGUGUAGAGGUGAAAUUCGUAGAUAUUCGGAGGAACACCAGUGGCGAAGGCGGCUCACUGGUCCAUUACUGACGCUGAGGUGCGAAAGCGUGGGGAGCAAAC